GGUUGUCGUCAGCUCGUGUCGUGAGAUGUUGGGUUAAGUCCCGCAACGAGCGCAACCCCUAUUGUUAGUUGCCAUCAUUCAGUUGGGCACUCUAGCGAGACUGCCGGUAAUAAACCGGAGGAAGGUGGGGAUGACGUCAAAUCAUCAUGCCCCUUAUGACCUGGGCUACACACGUGCUACAAUGGUUGGUACAACGAGUUGCGAGUCGGUGACGGCGAGCUAAUCUCUUAAAGCCAAUCUCAGUUCGGAUUGUAGGCUGCAACUCGCCUACAUGAAGUCGGAAUCGCUAGUAAUCGCGGAUCAGCACGCCGCGGUGAAUACGUUCCCGGGCCUU
rnacentral:rRNA from 1 species